rnacentral:rRNA from 1 species
GAUGAACGCUGGCGGCGUGCCUAAUACAUGCAAGUCGAGCGAACGGACGAGAAGCUUGCUUCUCUGAUGUUAGCGGCGGACGGGUGAGUAACACGUGGAUAACCUACCUAUAAGACUGGGAUAACUUCGGGAAACCGGAGCUAAUACCGGAUAAUAUUUUGAACCGCAUGGUUCAAAAGUGAAAGACGGUCUUGCUGUCACUUAUAGAUGGAUCCGCGCUGCAUUAGCUAGUUGGUAAGGUAACGGCUUACCAAGGCAACGAUGCAUAGCCGACCUGAGAGGGUGAUCGGCCACACUGGAACUGAGACACGGUCCAGACUCCUACGGGAGGCAGCAGUAGGGAAUCUUCCGCAAUGGGCGAAAGCCCGACGGAGCAACGCCGCGUGAGUGAUGAAGGUCUUCGGAUCGUAAAACUCUGUUAUUAGGGAAGAACAUAUGUGUAAGUAACUGUGCACAUCUUGACGGUACCUAAUCAGAAAGCCACGGCUAACUACGU